rnacentral:rRNA from 1 species
UACAGAGGGUGCGAGCGUUGUUCGGAAUUAUUGGGCGUAAAGGGCGCGUAGGCGGUGCGGUAAGUCACCUGUGAAACCUCUAGGCUUAACCUAGAGCCUGCAGGCGAAACUGCCGUGCUGGAGUGUGGGAGAGGUGCGUGGAAUUCCCGGUGUAGCGGUGAAAUGCGUAGAUAUCGGGAGGAACAUCAGUGGCGAAGGCGACCGCCUGGCCCAACACUGACGCUGAGGUGCGAAAGCGUGGGUAGCAAACAGG